GCACUGCUGAGGAGUCCCAUAAUAGGACGAAACAGCCGUCCAGUUC
rfam:Schistosoma mansoni strain Puerto Rico chromosome 2, complete genome